AAUUAACCCCGAUGGCAGUGGAAAUCAUUUUGCAGAGAACGAGAUUUUUUGUCUGCAAAAAAGAGUGGGAAUGAAAUGAAACUCCUUUUUUGCAGCAACAAAAAAGGAGUCAUCAAAAAUUAUUGUAAAGUACAGCGGGAUAAGUU
rnacentral:misc_RNA from 1 species